AUUGAACGCUGGCGGCAGGCCUAACACAUGCAAGUCGAGCGAGCGGCGGACGGGUGAGUAAUGUAUGGGGAACUGCCCGAGAGAGGGGGGUAAAUACUGUAAACGGUAGCUAUUACCGCAUACUACAGGAUGAACCCACACGGGAUUUGCGAGUAGGUGGGGUAAUGGCGCACCUAGGCGACGAUCCCUAGCUGGUGUGAGAGGGUGAGCAGCCAAACUGGAACUGAGACACGGCCCAGACUCCUACGGGAGGCAGCAGUGGGGAAUAUUGCACAAUGGGCGCAAGCCUGAUGCAGCCAUGCCGCGUGUAUGAAGAAGGCCCUCGGGUUGUAAAGUACUUUCAGCGGGGAGGCGUUACCGGCAGAAGAAGCACCGGCUAACUCCGUGCCAGCAGCCGCGGUAAUAC
rnacentral:rRNA from 1 species